UCAUAUGAUUACAAUGGUCCCUCCUUCAUAAUCUGGAUAAGCCCCCUAUUUUAAAAUCAACCGAUGAGUAAGCUUAGUUCCAUCUCCAAUGUCACAGCGGUGAGCAAAACUCCCUUUGGCUCCAAUUAAAAAGAUGUGCUCCAACACCACAGGGACUAAGAUGAAUUUUCAACUUUCCUGCUCUUGGUCCCCAGAGAUGGACUUACAUCCAAGGCUCCUGUGAAUCCUACACAGCCGAGACUGCUGACCAGAGCACUCAUUCAAGUUAUCUGAGUGGGGGCAGGGAUGUUGUCAUUGUGUUAUUCUCCCUUCUCCACUGGGGCUGCAAGAAAUAAGAGGGAGGCCAUUGCUCCCAAUUGUGACCUGCUCUGAUCUCCAGGCACAGCUUUCUAGCAAUUCUCAAAGUUUGGUGUAUGGUAUGAUUGCUGACGAGGUGGAAGGAGGUCCUGAAAAGUUCUACUUGAGAGAACAUCUCUUCAGAAACCAUUCCUAUUCUUUCCUUGACUUGGUGUGAAAGAGAUAGCUUCAUGAGUAAUCUAUGCGUCCAUCAACCCAUCAACAGAUGAA